GACGAACGCUGGCGGCGUGCUUAACACAUGCAAGUCGAACGAAGUGGCGAACGGGUGAGUAAUACGUGGGUACCCUGCCCUCCUUUUUGGGAUAAGCCUUGGAAACGGGGUCUAAUACCGAAUAAAGGGGGAUGGGCUCGCGGCCUAUCAGCUUGUUGGUGGGGUGAUGGCCUACCAAGGCGGUGACGGGUAACCGGCAUGAGAGGGUGACCGGCAAUAUUGGGACUGAGAUACGGCCAAGACUCCGACGGGAGGAAGCAGUGGGGGAUAUUGCACAAUGGGCGAAAGCCUGACGGAGAAACGCGGCGUGAGUGAUGCCGGCCUUCGGGUUGUAAAGCUCUGUUAAUCGUGACAAGGAACCGGAAUAGAAAGCCACGGCUAACUACGUGCCAGCAGCCGCGGUAAUUC
rnacentral:rRNA from 1 species